CUCGGAAACUCUGCCCUAGAACAGUUCAGGUCAAGCUGGGGUCGGAGGGGGUCUUCCCUCAGUGACCCCAGUUCCCUGCGCGGGUCUCUCCCAUUCUAGGCCACAGUUCCCGCACACAAACUUUUCCCUACUCAUUCAGUCCUUUCGGAACCCUGCCUUCAUUGCUCGGCUGGCUCCAGGGGUCUGGCGGGCUAAUACCCGGGACCCAAGAAAGUGUCUAAUGACCCUUACCAGAACGGGUCCCGAAGGAUGGGACUCCAUAAUACGUGGGGUGCACACAUCCAAGCCCGACUUUGACGGGUUAUGGGUGCAAGUGUGGAAAGAAACGACAGGAGAACAAACUUGGGAAGCCGGACCAAGCGACACUUCCCUGUCCCUAAGUCAGUCUCCAGAGCGACCGGCAGCACUCGGCCGCGACCCCAGGAUGUCGCUCCUCCACCCCAACCCCCAGUUCUCACGGCUCGGAACCCCCAAAGGGUAGUAAAAAGGCAGAGACUGCUGGCAGGAGCUGCUAUGGCACCGUGAGCUGCAGCUGAUCUCCGGGGUGAGUGCAAAGGUUACCAUCACUACAGCUGUUCCACCCAGAGUCACAGAGCCUCACUCUAGGACACAAGCUAGCCUGGACUGCACGAGGACCCUCCAGCAAGAUGAAUGGUGCUUCUGAAAAUUUUUUCCCCAUUGAGGUUGUAUGGCUGAAAUUCACUUUUCUCACCAUUGACCUAUUG
rnacentral:lncRNA from 1 species